rnacentral:rRNA from 1 species
AAUAGAUACCCUGGUAGUCCAUGCCGUAAACGUUGGGCACUAGGUGUGGGGGACAUUCCACGUUUUCCGCGCCGUAGCUAACGCAUUAAGUGCCCCGCCUGGGGAGUACGGCCGCAAGGCUAAAACUCAAAGGAAUUGACGGGGGCCCGCACAAGCGGCGGAGCAUGCUGAUUAAUUCGAUGCAACGCGAAGAACCUUACCAAGGCUUGACAUGCACCGGACGGCUGCAGAGAUGUGGCUUUCUUUGGACUGGUGCACAGGUGGUGCAUGGUUGUCGUCAGCUCGUGUCGUGAGAUGUUGGGUUAAGUCCCGCAACGAGCGCAACCCUCGUUCUAUGUUGCCAGCACGUGAUGGUGGGGACUCAUAGGAGACUACCGGGGUCAACUCGGAGGAAGGUGGGGACGACGUCAAAUCAUCAUGCCCCUUAUGUCUUGGGCUUCAAGCAUGCUACAAUGGUCGGUACAAUGGGUUGCGAAACUGUGAGGUGGAGCGAAUCCCAAAAAGCCGGCCUCAGUUCGGAUUGGGGUCUGC